rnacentral:rRNA from 1 species
AUUGAACGCUGGCGGCAUGCCUUACACAUGCAAGUCGAGCGGAGCGGCGGACGUGUGAGUAAUGCCUAGGCAUCUGCCUGGUCGUGGGGGAUAACGUCCGGAAACGGGCGCUAAUACCGCAUACUCUCAUCUGAGCCUAGGUCGGAUGAGCUAGUUGGUGGGGUAAAGGCCUACCAGGGCGACGCUCCGUAACUGGUCUGAGAGGAUGAUCAUUCAGACCGGAACUGAGACACGGUCCAGAGUCCGACGGGAGGCAGCAGGGGGGAAUAUUGGACAAGGGGCGAAAGCCUGAUCCAGCCAUGCCGCGUGUGUGAAGAAGGUCUUCGGAUUGUAAAGCACUUUAAGUUGGGAGGCGUUACCAACAGAAUAAGCACCGGCUAACUGCGUGCCAGCAGCCGCGGUAAUAC